rnacentral:tRNA from 1 species
GGGAAGGUAGCUCAGUGGUAGAGUGCUUGCCUUGCAUGCAUGAGGCCCUGGGUUCGAUUCCUCAGCACCACCU